rnacentral:lncRNA from 1 species
AUGUUAUAUGAAUGGGAUGAUUCUUUAGACUGUAAUUGGAGAAAGAGAAUUACUGAAGUAAUUCGUGACGUUAUUAUGUACGAUUAUCCAUUUAAAGAAGUUAGAAGACCAUCUAAUUUAGAUUUGUAUGAUAUAACCUGGUAUGCAGGUAAAAUAGAUAUUUUUGUCAUUCCCGAAAAACAAACAAAUGAAGUUAAUAAUAACCAUAGUAAUAAAAAUGUUACAUUAUUCGAUUUAAAACAAUUAGUAAAAAAAAUAGCUGAAAGAUUAAAACAAUUAGAAGUCGAUGAAGAAAUUUUAGUUUUACCAUUUUUCGAAUUAGUUGUUUCUUCUCUUCCUAGUAAAAAUAUCCUAAUUUGUCGUAAAGAUUGGAAUAAAAAUAUAGGCAAUGAAGUUAUUGUUUAUUUUAAAAAUAAUUUAUAUGAACCGAUUAAAGGAGUUUUGUUAGGAUCACCUUCUGUAUUUCAUUUAAUAUUAAACAUAAAAAAUGAAAGAAUAGAAAAUAUAUUUAUUAAUUUAAUUGAUAAAGUUGUACUUGAAAACACAAAAGAUGAUUUACAAAAUAAUAUUCGUUUAAAUGCGACUAUUAAACAAAGAGAUGGAGAAAACUACUCAUACAUGGUAAAUAACAUUCCAACCGAUGCGAAAAAAAUUAAUAAAAAUGCGGUCGAUAUAACAAAACACGAACAAAUAAAAGAAGAGCAAUAUGAAGAAAAAAAAAAAAAAAAAAAAAAAACAACAACAACCUUAAAAGUAAACGAAUUUGAUGAAUUAGAACAAUUAAAAAACAAAAAAAAAAAAAAAACAAGUAAUGAUAAUGACAAACAACUUAAUUUACUUAAAAAUAUUAACACAUUAGAUGAUUUUGAUGAUAAUUACAAUUUAAUAAAACAGCCUGGAGACAUUGAUGAUGAUGAUGGUGAUAAUGAAAAUGAUGAUCAGGAGGAUGCCGACGAAUAUGACGAAAUCGAAGAUCUUGAAGAUAUUCAUGACUAUGAUGAUGUUGAUGAUAUUUCAAACUAG